UGGGGAAUAUUGCACAAUGGGCGCAAGCCUGAUGCAGCCAUGCCGCGUGUGUGAAGAAGGCCUUCGGGUUGUAAAGCACUUUCAGCGAGGAGGAAGGGUUCAGUGUUAAUAGCACUGUUCAUUGACGUUACUCGCAGAAGAAGCACCGGCUAACUCCGUGCCAGCAGCCGCGGUAAUACGGAGGGUGCAAGCGUUAAUCGGAAUUACUGGGCGUAAAGCGCACGCAGGCGGUUUGUUAAGUCAGAUGUGAAAUCCCCGCGCUUAACGUGGAACUGCAUUUGAAACUGGCAAGCUAGAGUCUUGUAGAGGGGGGUAGAAUUCCAGGUGUAGCGGUGAAAUGCGUAGAGAUCUGGAGGAAUACCGGUGGCGAAGGCGGCCCCCUGGACAAAGACUGACGCUCAGGUGCGAAAGCGUG
rnacentral:rRNA from 1 species